GAUGAACGCUGGCGGCGUGCCUAAUACAUGCAAGUCGAGCGAACGGACGAGAAGCUUGCUGCUCUGAUGUUAGCGGCGGACGGGUGAGUAACGCGUGGAUAACCUACCUAUAAGACUGGGAUAACUUCGGGAAACCGGAGCUAAUACCGGAUGAUAUUUUGAACCGCAUGGUUCAAAAGUGAAAGACGGUCUUGCUGUCUCUUAUAGAUGGAUCCGCGCUGCAUUAGCUAGUUGGUAAGGUAACGGCUUACUAAGGCAACGAUGCAUAGCCGACCUGAGAGGGUGGUCGGCCACACUGGAAGGGAGACACGGUCCAGACUCCUACGGGAGGCAGCAGUAGGGAAUCUUCCGCAAUGGGCGAAAGCCUGACGGAGCAACGCCGCGUGAGUGAUGAAGGUCUUCGGAUCGUAAAACUCUGUUAUUAGGGAAGAACAUAUGUGUAAGUAACUGUGCACAUCGUGACGGUACCUAAUCAGAAAGCCACGGCUAACUACGUG
rnacentral:rRNA from 1 species